CCUGGUGACCAUAGCGAGCUGGAACCACCCCUUCCCAUCCCGAACAGGUCCGUGAAACAGCUCCGCGCCGAUGAUAGUGCGGAUUACCCGUGUGAAAGUAGGUCAUCGCCAGGC
rnacentral:rRNA from 1 species